UCUCAGGGACUCUGCCCUUUGGUCCUACCUAGCAGAUCGAGUGCAGAUUUUUCAAGAAAGACUUGCAGAAGCAGAAAUGGCUCACCCUCAGCCUGGAGCUUUUCAUGACUCUCCAGAAGAAAUGUCAACAGCCUUUUGUUUGGGUGAGCACGCCAAGACUAGCCCAGAGGACUCUCUUUAGAUGCACUUGUGUGUCUGUCCUUCUGCACCAAGUCACACACAAGCUGGCUCUUCUGAUGCUCCAAAGCUGCCAUUGGCUCCUUGAAUAGCCUACUGAGCUAACUGUGCAUCGGCCUCCAUCCUGGGCAGGACUGAGGUCUCUUCAGUCUCCCUCUCCCCACUCAGCAGCCAAUCCAGGGCCAGGGUGGGGUGCUCAACUGAGCCCCCACCUUUACAGUUUUACGUAAAUUUCAUCAGAACCCUUUGAUCCAACUAAAGUUUACUUCUCCCAGAUGUUGCAAAACAGCUAUCUUGGCUGCAUUUUUAAAAAUUGUCUUCCCAAUGUCUGGUGUAAUUCUUGGUACUC
rnacentral:lncRNA from 1 species